CUUUCCCUCUUUCUUUAGGCCUAACACAUGCAAGUCGAACGGCGGCACAGUAAGAGCUUGCUCUUACGGGUGGCGAGUGGCGGACGGGUGAGGCAUACAUUGGACUCUACUUUUUCGUGGGGGAUAACGUAGGGAACCUUACGCUAAUACCGCAUACGACCUACGGGUGAAAGCAGGGGAUCUUCGGACUUUGCGCGACUGAAUGAGCCGAUGUCGGAUUAGCUAGUUGGCGGGGUAAAGGCCCACCAAGGCGACGGUCCGUAGCUGGUCUGAGAGGAUGAUCAGCCACACUGGAACGAAGACACGGUACAAACUCCUACGGGAGGCAGCAGUGGGGAAUAUUGGACAAGGGGCGCAAGCCGGAGCCAGCCAUACCGCGUGGGUGAAGAAGGCCUUCGGGUUGUAAAGCCCUUUUGUUGGGAAAGAAAAGCAGCAUGUUAAUACCCCGCUGUUCUGACGGUACCCAAAGAAUAAGCACCGGCUAACUUCGUG
rnacentral:rRNA from 1 species